rnacentral:lncRNA from 1 species
ACUCGGGCCAGGCUGCUCUGCGAAGCUGCUGUUUCCUCUGCUGCCGAAGCGGUUUCUUCCACCCAGGGCGGUGCGGUGGUUUGGCGACUUAGAGCCAGCUCCACAGACUCAGAGGGCCGGAGGAGACAAGGAGGAACUCGAGGGAAGAGAAGACCUGGAGCAGGAGGGGCUGACACCAGCCCUCACUUCAUCCCAGACUAUACAGACUCACCAAGGGCUCUGACCAGGAACAGAGACCAGAGUGAUUUCAAAGAAAGAAUCUGUGAUGACACUUGAAAUGGCUUUUAUAGAUAAUAUUUGAUGACGGAAGGAGACAUCAGGUUGUUCUGGGUAUUAAGAAAACAGAGGCUGGCCGGGUACG